CUUCAUGAGACGCCGUCGCCAAGCUCCGACUGAACGGCGCGCCAACCCCACGCUCGUGGGUGGCUCGGAUGACGAAGCGGCCGGCUCCAACGGCCGGUAAGAGCGCCUC
rnacentral:ncRNA from 1 species